GCCCACCCCUGGUAUUAAUGUUGCGGCGACAACUGGAGGAAUGGUAUUAAUUCUCAUUGUCAUCAUCAUCCAACCUGCAUCGUCUCAUACAUAAUCCUCUCUGUUAAUCGGUCCUAAGUCGGGAUCACCACCGCAAAAACCACACCUUCAGUUGCAUGGUCAUCUCAUCGCGUCAUCAGGAAAUCCGUGAAAGUCCAUCCACCCAGCUAAGGCACCCAUCCAUCCAUUGCGGUCAAUACGGUACAACUUUUUGUGGCCAUCACUCACUCACAACUCAUGGAGGAGAAGAUUUGUCCCCCAUGUUCUCCUUGAGGGGAAGAAGUAGAGUGAAAAUGAAACGGAAUUCUAAUAAAAAAGGUAUAUCUAUGUCUGGAAAGCAUUAGCAGAGUGAAAAUAAAACUCAUUUCUAAUAUCUA